UAUGAGGGCUUUAUUGAUGAACUGAGCCGAGCCAAGGAGGCGUUACAAGCUCGUGAGCUGGCAGACCGCGUCUGUUCCCGGGAUUCCACGCCUCAGCGACAGCAGACAAAGAUCUCCGCCAGGCAGCCGCCGCAGCAGCAGCAAACAAAGCUCGCCGUGACGGUAUCGCAGCAGCAGACGGGGCUCUCAGUAGCGCAACAGCGGCUGCUACAACGAGAGGGUUUUUCGACGACGACGCUGCGGAGCCCUUCUCCAUCCCCGUCCGGCUCUGACUGUCACUCUCCCGCUGCUUUCCUAGCAGCGAUGUGGUCGGAGGGUGAAGAGGAGACCGUCACCCUCCUCACGUCUGGUUCCGACCACCCCUCACCUGCCUCAUGCCUGGCAGGAAUGUGGUCGGAGGAUGAGGGGCCAGUCACCGUUGCUCCGACACCUUCAGUUUUCUCUGCCACUCCUGUUUCUAAGAGAAAGCGGCGUUCUCGCCGUCGCCGUCCCUCACCGCAAUCGGAAUCCAGUUCCUGCUCUGAAAAGCUGGACAUGGUGAGUGAACAGAACAAUUUUCACCCGGCAUCUUCCACACUGGGGAUUUUAAGCUCUGAGCCAGUGAAUUCAGAGUCAGUUAACCUUUUGACUGUUAACUCAGUCUGUAAAGACAGAAACUGAUGAUCCUGAGAUGGCUGACUCUGAGGCUGCCUUUCGGGACUCUGAGCAUUCUAAUCAUCCCUCUUUUGUUUCUUCUAAGUUUGAGAAAAUUCAGGAAUCAGAUGACCUUAUUUCAGAGUCAAAAGAAGUUUGGUGUUCUGUAACUGAGAGUGGUGUUUUUGGGUUUCAUUCAGAAAAGUCUGGGGUUUCUGUUUUCACUUCUCAGUCAAGUUAUGUUGAUUCCGAGCCACCUGUUUUUGGAUCAGUUAAUAGUGAGCUUGCAGAUGUAGAUUACGUAUGUGAAUCUGUUGUGGAAUUUUCUGACUUGGACAAUCAUAAUCUCACUCAGGACAUUAAAAAUGCUGUUCAAAAGACAAUUUCUCCUACUGCUAAACUAAACGGGGACAGUUCCAUUUCCCAGCCAAAUUCCAUCUAUGCUGUUCAGGCUACACCUCAUGAGACUGUUGUUGGUGUUGCUUCACCUAUGUGUUACGCAGCUCACCAGCCAGUUCAUUCUGAGGCUGCCUGUGAUAAACCUCAUGUUUCCAUAACCUCCCCUGAGUUAAAUUUCACAAGCCCAGAGUAUGCUCAUUCAAGGACUGUUUGUGUUGCUCAUUGUGAACUCUUCAAGACUAUGCGUUCUGUGACUGUCCAGGUUAAGAGCGACAAGGUGUCAUCUGCUGUUAACAAGCUGGCAAAAAUACUUGGUUUGAACACUGCAGAGUUGGUUGCUCAAGUUAAAGUUUCGGUUCCACGAUCAUGUCUGUACAACUCUGUGCGCCAUGCUUUUCAGCCAGUAGCCCUGGACACUGUGUGUGCAACUUCCCAGGCUGCGUUUUGUUAGACUGUGUUUAAUGUUGCUUCACACCCAGUUUCUUCAGAUACCACUUGUAUGAUUUCUCCAGCACCUGUGACUGCCCCUGAACUCAUCUUUUCUAAGACUGCUAAUGCCAACCUGGACAAUUUAAGAAUAGCAGUUUUACCAAGGUCAGCCUGCCAUAAGUCUCGGUUUUCUGGAACCAUGUCUGGUACCAUAAACCUGGUUUUCCCUGUGACUGUUACAGCUCCUCUGCUCUGCUCUCCGCGUCCUGUUCCAGUUCCCAGGCAGACUAUGGCUCCGUUCAUCCCUGCACCCGUAUCUGCUCCUCGGGUGGGGAUGGGGGGCGCCCGGUCGUUGCCGGUGCCUGUUCUGGUUCCCUGGGUGGGGGCAACUGAGACCCUGCUGACUCCUGCACCCGUUUCAGCUCCUCGGGUGGGAGCAGCGGCGGUCCAGCUAGCUCCUGCACCCACACCGGCCCCCAGGGGUAAGGCAGCCAGAACACAGCUCUUCCCUGGACCUGUAUCUGUUCUUCAGGUGGGGAUGGCUGAUGUUCGGCCAGGCCCAGUACCCGUCCCUGUUCCCCGGAGAAGAGUUGCUGAGAGUCGGUUACCCGCUCUGUUGCAAGUUCAACAACCAUCACUACACCCAGCACGACCAUCAUCACGACCACCACUACAGCUUCUGUUUCAGUCAACCGCCCAGCCGGUAACUGAGCAAUUAGUGCAAGCACUAAUUCAGCUACCUAUACGGCCAGGGGUCCCAAUUGCCUCCGGCCCCGCACCUGCUCCGGCUGGAGGGCCCGAGAAGCCCAUCCAGCCUCAAGUCACGUCGGGUGGGGGUUCAGGAGAACCCAGCCAGCUUCCUGCUACGUUGGCUGGAGAGCACGGCCAGCCCUUCCUUGUCUCCGCUGGGGGUUCUGGUGAGCAAGGCCAGCCUCCUGUCUCCGCUGGGGGGUCCGAGGGGCCCGUUCAGCCUCCUGUCUCCGCUGGGGGGUCCGAGGGGCCCGUUCAGCCUCCUGUCUCCGCUGGGGGGUCCGAGGGGCCCGUUCAGCCUCCUGUCUCCGCUGGAGGGUCCGAGAGGCCGCCGCCUCCGGCUACCACACCAGCUGCAGCCUCUGAGUCUUCGUCCACGCCUGGCCCGGCCUCCUCUUCAGCGUCAUCAGCUUCGUUUGACCCAGCCUCUGUGUCGGCUUUGUCUUCGCCUGGUCCAGCUUCGGCCUCAGCCUCCGCCUCGUCUGGUCCAGCCUCCACCUCAUCAGCUCCGGCUAGCCCAGCCUCCGCUUCGUCUUCGUCCUCGCCUGCAGCAGCCCCAGAGUCUUCAUCCCCGCCUGGUCUGGCUUCAGCAUCUGGUCCUGCCUCGUCUGGUCCUGCAGUAGCAACAGUGCCAUCAGAGCCAGCUCGGCCUGUGCCUCCUCGCCUUUGUUGGCCGCUUUCCAGGCCUCUGGGUCAGCAUCAUGGCCGUCGAGGGCGGCCCCCUGAAAGAAUUCGCUGCCACCGCUGGCUUCGCGGCCGACCUCCGGACCGGCUCCGUUGCCGCCACUGCCUUCCGCGUGGUCGGCCGCCUGAACUGUUUCCACGUCGCCGCCGUUGCCGUGUGCACGGUCGGCCGCCUGAACUGUUUCCACGUCGCCGCCGUUGCCGUGUGCACGGUCGGCCGCCUGAACUGUUUCCACGUCGCCGCCGCUGCCUUCCGCACGGUCGGCCCCCGGAUCCCUUUCCCCUGAGUCGCCGCCGUUGCCGCCCGCACGGUCGGCCUCCUGAACUGAACUGUUUGGCGCGAUGGUGUUGCCAGUUUCUCUAUUUAUUUUUUUUUAAAGAUCUGUCAAAUAAAAUAUUCACCUUCCCACAAGAAACCAACACAGCUCAUGUGAGGGUGACUACAUCAAGACAAGAUCUGAAGGCUGUAACCGUGUGUUUCAGGUCCUUUACUGACCUCAAUAGAGACCAUUCCUUGUUCUCUCUGGCUACACCCUCUGCUAUCAAUAACUUCCUGAUAUUCAAGAAAGCUGCAAAUGGCUUAUUUGACCUGUGGGCCAGGGGCAAGUCGAAUACAGUUGAAGGGAUUGCCUACAAGUUGAACACAUGGCAUUCUAUUUGUUUCACGUGGGACUCUACCUCUGGACUCAUGCAGCUGUGGGUCGAUGGAGUCCCCUCAAGUAGAAAAUUUACCAGCUCUGGAUCCAACAUCAAUGGACCCAUUAUCAUUGUCUUAGGACAGGGCAAGACAAACCCAGAGUCAAUGACCUCAAUGAAGAAGACCCAUUUUCACCAACAAACACUGUCACUAUAAAACUCACUCCCUUGCUUGCCUCAUGCAACACAACAUCCUGAGACUCAAAUCAAGAUGGCGCUGCUGCUUUUACUGGUGACACUGACAACAUGUGCUGCCACUCCUCAAGACCUGGCAAGGAAAAUGUUCACCUUCCCAGAAGAGACAAACACAGCUCACGUGAAGCUGUUAACAACAAAACAAGA